rnacentral:misc_RNA from 2 species
AUCCCUCAGCCCCCAUCGUUUUUUGUUAAGCGAUUGGCUUGGGUCUGGAUUUGGGCGUCUUGCCAAUGCGCUUCUUCAAGUGCUUGGCUCGCCUUAAAGAGAUUAGCUGGACCCUAUUCCGAGCUGGUUCAACUCGACGUGAUAAUUUCAUUCGUCGAGGUAUGGUCGGCCUUACGGCUGAUCAGCCAGGUGUAGGAAUCCGGUCUGCUUCCAACCUUCGUCUGAAGCCAGCAAUGGUGUGAAGCGGAAUUUUUUAAUG